UACGUAGGUCCCGAGCGUUGUCCGGAUUUAUUGGGCGUAAAGCGAGCGCAGGUGGUUUAAUAAGUCUGAUGUAAAAGGCAGUGGCUCAACCAUUGUGUGCAUUGGAAACUGUUAGACUUGAGUGCAGUAGAGGAGAGUGGAAUUCCAUGUGUAGCGGUGAAAUGCGUAGAUAUAUGGAGGAACACCGGUGGCGAAAGCGGCUCUCUGGACUGUCACUGACACUGAGGCUCGAAAGCGUGGGGAGCAAACAGG
rnacentral:rRNA from 1 species